UUUAAUGUGGUGUAUGGCAUUUUACAUUUUGGUUGUAGCGGAAGCUAGUAGCUCAUUAUUU
rnacentral:tRNA from 1 species